GACUUAUACACGGCUGCUGAGACGCGCUGGGUGAUCAGGCGAUUGAGGUCUAUUGACCUGCCGAGGAGCUGGUGUGCACAGGGAAUGAUGGCAGGGAGAGA